CGUAACUCCUCAUAAAAUACAGAUCAAACUUCAAACUGACAUUUGCUUCACUCAACAAAUUCAUUAAAUGGUUUCAUUUGGAGAUUGUGGAUGAAAUUCCCUUUGAACACUUCAAAAACUGCUUCGACCGCCUGCCAGGAUGUGGAUAUCACCAGCAUUUAACACCCUCUGCCACUACCCCCAUCGAUUUGAGUGCAAUUGCACUUUGUAGUGAAGAAACGACGGCACUGCUGUGCUCUGGAGUCAUGUAUCGCCCA